GCACUACUCUAAUACAUAAUAGGAACCCAAUUAUCUUAAAAAGGUAGAUCCUUAUCUCAUAAGAAUUUUCUACCUUUUUAAUCUAAUUUAUUUUAAUUAAAAUCAGAUAUAAAUGGUAUAUGAUCAGUCCCUUUAAGCAUGUACAAGAGGUGCCCUAGGAUUACAUGUCAGGUAAUUGGGGUGCCAACUCUUGGCACAGUUGGCACCCCACAAUAGGGUUUUUAUCCAAAUAAGAAGGGGCAUGGCCCCACCUCUCUUUCCUCCACACCAUGCCACAUAAGAGGGGGUAGGCCUUUCUAGGAUUUGGCACCCAAUUCUUGCCAAAAGAGAAGGAAGGUGCCACCCAAUCUUUCAUCUAUUCCACAUGCACACUUAGAGAUAAUUAGGAGAUAAAAAAAAGAUAAUGUUAGGAUAAUUAUGUCAACUAAUUGACUUAAUCAAAUCCUCUUGUGCUCACAAUUAAGAGUCCAAUUAAAUCUAAAUAGAUUUAAGUUAAGUUCAAGGCUAUGGACUUGAUCAAAUCAAAGUCUCGAAAAGAAUUAGGUUUAACCGUGUGAUAGCAUAGUUCUCAUAAAUCUAAUAGGAUUUCAAUAAACCCUAAUGCAAUUAGAACUUCAUAAAUCUAAUUGAUAAAUUUGAGACUAAAUCCCUUAAUAUGUGACCCCAUAGAUUUCAUUCUAUUUGAUAGUGAGAUAUAUUGCGAUCUCCAUCAUAAUAUCAUCGAAACUCUUUUCGAUGGAUUGGAAUAUUUUCAAUUCUACCCUUCGAGGGCCAUCGAUCAUCAAGAUGAUGUCCGAUGAGUCUCAUAAUCCACUAGUGAUACCUAGCAGUAUGUAGUGGCAAUCCAAUAGAAUGAAAGUACGAACUCUUAGGUGCAAUUAUCGUAUGAUUCAGUGCUUCUAUCGUGAGUCUCCAUUUGAUGGAGGUUAUGAAGAACUCAUCAGACUCCAUCGUCAGUCAUAUGCUAAAUUGGUUCAACUUGAGUUCAUUUGUGAAUCCUGUAUAAACUCUUUUUCAGUAUUUUCACUUACUUUGAUCAAAGAUUUUCUAAAUUCAGUCUCGCAAAUCGCAUAGGACUUUUCCUUUUCUAUCAAGAUCGAUAGAUUCCAUCUAGGUACAUCCUACUCCAAAUAAUGAAUCUAAACCUACUGAAGUCAAUAUACACAGUAAGGAUCUGAAUGGCUAGGGAUAAAAAAAAUAUAUAGUCAAACCCAGUAGCCUCAUUGUGAAUGGCCAAUGGCACCGCAGAUCAAAGGACCACUUACACCACUGCAGCAUCGAGAAGACCACUAAUGAAUGAGUAGACAUCUAUGUGAUUUUCAUAUUGAUCAUGCUCAGUGUAAGUUAUUCUCUAACAACCAUCUACAUCUUCAUCCCAGUAUCUCUACACUGCAAACUCAAGACUCAUCUGCCCA
rnacentral:lncRNA from 1 species